rnacentral:sRNA from 1 species
UGAAGAUGAAAUCAUAUUUCGUUGAAAA